UACGAAGGGGGCUAGCGUUGUUCGGAAUUACUGGGCGUAAAGCGCACGUAGGCGGAUAUUUAAGUCAGGGGUGAAAUCCCAGAGCUCAACUCUGGAGCUGCCUUUGAUACUGGGUAUCUUGAGUAUGGAAGAGGUAAGUGGAAUUGCGAGUGUAGAGGUGAAAUUCGUAGAUAUUCGCAGGAACACCAGUGGCGAAGGCGGCUUACUGGUCCAUAACUGACGCUGAGGUGCGAAAGCGUGGGGAGCAAACAGG
rnacentral:rRNA from 1 species